GCAAAUAUAUCUUAAAGGUUAAAGUGAAAGAAUUCCACUCUUUCGAUAAGGGUUCAAUUCCCUUUAUUUGCU
rnacentral:tRNA from 1 species